rnacentral:rRNA from 1 species
GAUGAACGCUGGCGGCGUGCCUAAUACAUGCAAGUCGAGCGAACGGACGAGAAGCUUGCUUCUCUGAUGUUAGCGGCGGACGGGUGAGUAACACGUGGAUAACCUACCUAUAAGACUGGGAUAACUUCGGGAAACCGGAGCUAAUACCGGAUAAUAUUUUGAACCGCAUGGUUCAAAAGUGAAAGACGGUCUUGCUGUCACUUAUAGAUGGAUCCGCGCUGCAUUAGCUAGUUGGUAAGGUAACGGCUUACCAAGGCAACGAUGCAUAGCCGCCCUGAGAGGGUGAUCGGCCACCCUGGAACUGAGACACGGUCCAGACUCCUACGGGAGGCAGCAGUAGGGAAUCUUCCGCAAUGGGCGAAAGCCUGACGGAGCAACGCCGCGUGAGUGAUGAAGGUCUUCGGAUCGUAAAACUCUGUUAUUAGGGAAGAACAUAUGUGUAAGUAACUGUGCACAUCUUGACGGUACCUAAUCAGAAAGCCACGGCUAACUCCGUG